AUUGAACGCUGGCGGCAGGCCUAACACAUGCAAGUCGAGCGGAGCGGCGGACGGGUGCGUAAUGCCUAGGAAUCUGCCUGGUAGUGGGGGAUCACGUCCGGAACCGGGCGCUAAUACCGCAUACUAUCAGAUGAGCCUAGGUCGGAUUUGCUAGUUGGUGGGGUAAAGGCCUACCAAGUCGACGAUCCGUAACUGGUCUGAGAGGAGGAUCAGGCACACUGGAACGGAGACACGGUCCAGACUCCUACGGGAGGCAGCAGUGGGGAAUAUUGGACAAGGGGCGAAGGCCUGAUCCAGCCAUGCCGCGUGUGUGAAGAAGGUCUUCGGGUUGUAAAGCACUUUAAGUUGGGAGGCGGUACCAACAGAAUAAGCACCGGCUAACUUCGUGCCAGCAGCCGCGGUAAUUC
rnacentral:rRNA from 1 species